rnacentral:rRNA from 1 species
UGGGGAAUAUUGGACAAUGGGGGGAACCCUGAUCCAGCCAUGCCGCGUGUGUGAAGAAGGCCUUAUGGUUGUAAAGCACUUUAAGCGAGGAGGAGGGUACUGGUAUUAAUACUACCAGGUACUGGACGUUACUCGCAGAAUAAGCACCGGCUAACUCUGUGCCAGCAGCCGCGGUAAUACAGAGGGUGCGAGCGUUAAUCGGAUUUACUGGGCGUAAAGCGUGCGUAGGCGGCUAAUUGAGUCGGAUGUGAAAUCCCCGAGCUUAACUUGGGAAUUGCAUUCGAUACUGGUUAGCUAGAGUGUGGGAGAGGAUGGUAGAAUUCCAGGUGUAGCGGUGAAAUGCGUAGAGAUCUGGAGGAAUACCGAUAGCGAAGGCAGCCAUCUGACCUAACACUGACGCUGAGGUACGAAAGCAUGGGGAGCAAACAGG